UACAGAGGGGGCCAGCGUUGUUCGGAAUUACUGGGCGUAAAGGGCGCGUAGGCGGCCUUCUAAGUCGAACGUGAAAUCCCCGGGCUCAACCCAGGAACUGCGUCCGAUACUGGAAGGCUUGAAUCCGGGAGAGGGAUGCGGAAUUCCAGGUGUAGCGGUGAAAUGCGUAGAUAUCUGGAGGAACACCGGUGGCGAAGGCGGCAUCCUGGACCGGUUCUGACGCUGAGGCGCGAAAGCGUGGGGAGCAAACAGG
rnacentral:rRNA from 1 species